rnacentral:RNase_P_RNA from 1 species
CAAGUCAGCCAGAUAAUCGCUGGCAUCAUUAGAUGCUGGAGGAAAGUCCGGGCUCCAUAGAGCAAAGUGCCAGGUAACACCUGGGGGGCGUGAGCCUACGGAAAGUGCAGCAGAAAAGAUACCGCCAUAGGUUUUGUAUGGGGUCAGAGCGAAAGGUCUGACCCACAUGCUUUUUAUGGUAAGGGUGAAAUGGUGUGGUAAGAGCGCACCGCGAUACGGGUAACCGUAGCGGCAUGGUAAACCCCACUUGGAGCAAGACCAAAUAGGAAAGCAAUGGCGUGGCUCGCGCUGCUUUCGGGUUGGACGCUUGAGAUGCAUGGUGACAUGUUAUCCAGAUGAAUGAUUAUCCACGACAGAACCCGGCUUAUCGGCUGACUUAAUUU